GGGACGAACGCUGGCGGCGUGCUUAACACAUGCAAGUCGAGCGGAAAGGCCCUUCGGGGUACUCGAGCGGCGAACGGGUGAGUAACACGUGAGUAAUCUGCCCCUAGCUCUGGGAUAGCUCCGGGAAACCGGGAUUAAUACCGGAUACGACCACCUUAGACAUCUUUUGUGGUGGAAAGAAUUUCGGCUAGGGAUGAGCUCGCGGCCUAUCAGCUUGUGGUGGGUAACGGCCUACCAAGGCGACGACGGGUAG
rnacentral:rRNA from 1 species